UACGUAGGGGGCAAGCGUUUGUCCGGAAUUAUGGGCGUAAAGAGCGCGUAGGCGGCCCUGUAAGUCCGCUGUGAAAGUCAAGGGCUCAACCCUUGAAUGCCGGUGGAUACUGCAGGGCUAGAGUCCGGAAGAGGCGAGUGGAAUCCUGGUGUAGCGGUGAAAUGCGCAGAUAUCAGGAGGAACACCGAUGGCGAAGGCAGCUCGCUGGGACGGUACUGACG
rnacentral:rRNA from 1 species